rnacentral:lncRNA from 1 species
GCGGCGCACGUGGGGCGGUGCGGAGGGGCGGCGCCGGCUGUGUGACGUCACUGCCGCGCGGGAGAGGACGAGGGCGCCCCCUCGCGUGCGUGAGCGGACGGCGGCCCGGACUGCCGUCGUCCCUUCUGUACGGAGGACGGGAAAUCUCCAAAAACAAAGAUAACUGGAGAAUUUCUUGCUAUUACAGAAGCACGGGCCUCGUUCUGAGCCUUCCGAAGUGCCCACAAAGCCUUCUGCUGGUGUCAGAGGCUACGACGCUGCUAAAAGGCUCCUUCUCCCCGUCAGGCGGUCCACGGAUGAUCCAGAAAUGCAUGGGCUGGCCUGCAGGUCUCCCUCCCCAUGGCUGUGACAAACACAGGUCGCACUGCUCAGGCUGCAUUGUGCCGUCUACUCCAGAAACUGCUGACGGAAUGCUCCUCUCGCAAUGCAUCGCUGCUGUUCUGCAUCCUUGGCAGGAAAAUAGAGAAGUGGGUGACCGAG